CAUCGCAGUUAGUAGUUGAUUUAGCGUUGACGCUGGUAGACCGGCUUUGCUUGCAAAUCACGCCUCAUUGAAAAUUACUCCUUUAAUCAUAGUUGUGUUUGUCGUCGCGGACAUAUUAAGAUGACACGUUAUCAAUACCUGGAGGCGAAGUGCAGUGAACGUGAAAACCUUGAAAGUGUAAAUAAGUGCUCGUUGCGGAAGGAGUUGGCUGCAUCGACUUAUUAAGGGGCUAAUGUUUGUGGGAAAGUGCAAGAUGAUUGGCUAGUUGCCCACUGAGUUUUAGUGAAUAGUAAAUGCAAUCCCUUCUUCAAGCUUAAAUGAGGAAAUCAUUUCUUAAACUGCUAAUUUUAUGGACAUAAUCGUUCGGUGGUUAGUGGCUGGAACUGUAUUGCUAAUAGUUAUUGUAAUAUUGAAAUAAGAUUUUAUGUUGUCUUUCUAUUUUAUGAAUAAUACCGACAAAGUGACUAUGUAUUGAAUUGUGAAACUAUCUACAAUAUUAUAUUUAAUAUAGAGGUUUCGAAAACGUACUACUGCAUUGUAUCGUUACAGUAUGACUACAGUAUUUAUACUCGUCUACCAACGUCAAACCACAUUGCAAAAUAAUGCGUUGUAUAAUUUGACGUUACAGAACACUUUUACUGUUAAAAUGUUAAAAAUUAAACAAAAUAGUUUCAUUAUAAGUAAUAUCUUCCGUUUCAUCGAAAAUACAAACACAACAUCAUUAAAAUAUAUAGGAAAUUAAAUAAUAUUCUUUCCAUCAUAAGUACAUUUUGUGCCAUAUUCUCCGAAUUGAAUGCAAAUUUGGUUCAAAUUAAUGAAACAACUAAAAACAAGCUUUACAAUUUCGCUCCGCUUUAUAUGUGAUGCACGAUUUUCUCUGUCACUAUACAUCGACUACCGGUUUAAUGCAUUUCAAAACAUGAUGUAAUGUCAAAAAUAUUUCGAAUGCAUUACAGAACAUUAUCCUUUGUUCUUGUACAUUGUAAUUGACAUUUUCGAAGCCAGCCAGAAUGAACAGACUAAUCAUGAAAAAUACUAAUAGGAAGAGAUAAAGAAAAAUAUUUAUAAUUAAGAAACAAAUAUCAGUACCGUAUCUGGAAAUCCUUUAAAACAAAAUACGAAAUUAUCUUACAAGUUUCAUUAUUAAUUGUAUACUGAUUUUAUUCUAUUUGUUCGAAUAAUUACAAAAACAAGAAAAAAUGUUAACUUCGGUAGCACCGAAGCUAGAAUAAAUUUCAUAUAUACAAAAGUUCCUUACUAGACUUGAUUCCGAUCGUUCAAUUUGUAUAGCAGCUAUAUGAUAUUGUGAUCUGAUCUGAACAAUUUCUUAAGGUAAUGCAUUGUUGCCUCAUACAAUAACUCAUGCAAGCACUUUAUUCCGAUCGUUCAGUUAAUUUGGCCGCUAUAUGCUAUAGGCAUUCGAUCUAAAAAAUUUUUUUCGGAGAUUGCAACAUUGCCUUAAAUAAUAAUCCCUGCCGAAUUUCGUGAAGAUACCUCGUCAAAUAAAAGAGUUUUACAUACAAACACUUGAUUCCGAUUGUUCAGUAUGUAUAUCAGCUAUAUGCUAUAGUGGUCCGAGAUCGGAUAAAUUAACUCAGCCCAUCAUUCUGAUCAUUUAUGUGUAUAUUGUAUACGGUCUCCGACGUUUCCUUCUAGGUGUUACAAACUUCGUGGCAAACUUACAAAUAUUAUACCCUGUUCAGGGAUUCAGAGGAGCUUGGAUUUUGCACACGUGGUGUGUUCAAAAAGUAUCGCGAAUUUUGUAUUUCUUAAUAAAGUAUUUAAAGUAAUCCCCCCUGGAUAUAAUGCACUUAAGCUUAAAAAAGUAAUUUUUGUGAUCGUAUUCAGUUCCUCCCCCGAUCCAAUUUUUAUCUCCGCAAUCGUAGUGUAGCGUCGUCCUUUCAUGAGCUUCUUCAGUUUUGGGAACAAAAAAAGUCACAGGGGGCCAGGUCUGGGGAAUAAGGUGGCUGCGACACCAUUAAUGGGUUGUUUUUGGCCAAAUAUUCGCGUACAAGCAACGAUGCGUGAGCAGGGGUGUUAUCAUGGUGCAAAAGAUGAUUUUUGUUCUUCCACAAAUCCGAGCGUUUCUGGCGGAUUGUUUCAUGCAAAUUGCGCAUAACUUGCAUGUAAUAUUCUUUAUUGACCAUUUG